UCCUAGCCUAUUGGCAGGCCUACAAGUAAGGUAUUAUAAGGUAAGAUAACCAGGGAUCUAACCUGGAUCACUCAUACUUGUAGUGGUCUUACUUUUGUUUACUUGGACAGUUUAAUAGAUUGAUGAGGAUUGUCAUUCAUUUUUUUUCUAAGAAAAAGUUACUCUCUUGUUAUUUAUCCAGGACUAAUCAACAUGCAGUUGGAUGAAAAAAUUGGCAAUCUGAUUACAAUUUGGUAGAGGUUCAUUAUCCAAUGGAAGCCUUUCAAAGUGUUCCAAUAGCUGAUUCCAAAGUGCAGCUUCUAGAAAUACAUGCAGAAGGUUGAAAUGAGGUGUCUCUUGCCAAGAAGUCUGCUGGAUCAUGGAUUUUUUUCUGGAUCACCUCUGCAUGAAGAAGACAGGAAUAAGAAAUCAAAUGGCCUAUUUCGCAAUGUCCUUUUUUGUGUUACAGGCUCGUGAGAAGUUUCUAUCAUUAAGGAAAGGUACAAAGUCGGAUGUUGCUGCUGUCUUAGAAGAGGACCUACACAUUGCAAGGUCUUCAUUCGAGUAGGCUCGCUUCAAUCUGGUAUUUACAGCCCUACAAUGUCUGAACUGUAAACUACUGGUGGUUCACAGAGUUCCACAAAGAUUAACAAUGUGGCUCCCAAAAAGGUAGGCCUGCCUGUAUGGUUGCUGGACGCUUUUGAUACCUGUUCAUCAAGAAAACCUACUAUUUUAUGCUAAGAAAUAAAAAGCACUUUAAUUUUAUGCAUCAAUUGCAUAUUGAAACAUUGCUGGAAGUAGCUUCAUGUAAGUUGGCUGUUUUGUUUCUCAGUCUUGGAUUCACAAGUCAAAAUGAUAUUAGGAUUUUGCUGAUGCUAUGUUUUCUUUUAUUUGCUUUAAGUUGCAAUAACAGCUUCCUUCUGCUAAUUUUUUGUGUUGGUUAUUAGGUCUCACAGGUUGUCAUUCACAUACAAGGCUUGUAUAUUAUGGAUAUAGUCGUCAAUUUCUGCAGGU